AAAACACGGAUACAAUAGGGUUUCACUCUCGUUUCAAAACAUUUCAAAAUGCCCGCUCCUCUCUCUCUUCGGCGAUUCCAGAUCUAGGGUUUUUCUCCAUCACGUUUCUACUGCUCCAAUUCCUCAUGAAAAUCAUACAGUCCUCUCAAGAACUUCGAGAGUUGAAGAUGAUGCAAGCUGUUGUUUUAAUUGGUGGUGGUUAGCAACGAUAGAGAUGGUGGUGGUCUGCGGCUUGUGGUGGUAGUGGUUAGCGUCAACAGAUUCUGGUGACCCAACCUAGGGUUUAGAGUUUCCACAUUCUGGUAGCCCUAUAUAGGGUUCUGACCAUAACCCUAAUCCGGUGAAAGUUGUAGAUCUGGUCAGUAAGGGAAUGACAUCUUUCCUUACAUUCUUUUGAUUUUCAAGCGGUUUAUAAUUAUAGUUACAUGAUCUGUUGAUUUUCACGCGUUUACGUUUGAUUGAAGUUGAAUCAGACGAUUAAUAACAUAUAUGAUUCCAGAGGUAAAGAUUGAAACAUGAAGAUUUCUCCCAGAUCCGAUUUAGGUCUCGCAGAUCUGUCAUUAAUCGGAAGGUUACGGAUCAAAAGAUGUACCUCAGCUUCUGGACAUCAUCUUUACCAAAGAGUGGCGGGUGGGGUUCACCAGACCAAACAUGUACACAGGGUAGAUGAUUCGGCUAUUAAGUUAAUGCAUUAGGUACAAGUUCAUUAAAGCAUGGUGAAGUUUUGGGUUGCUUGUGUGGAGACUUGAUGAGCAUGGGUGGCCCGACAUCAACAACAGGCGGCGGCUAGGGUUCCGACCACCCGGUAAACGGACUUGCAUCGAAAGAGUUUGCAGCUCGUAAUGAUUUGGUUCGCAAUACCUGAUGGGGGGUGCUGCUGCGCCCAAAUGCCCAAUCAGACCGGAGGUUGGGCUGCGUCAGUAUCUCGUACAAAUAAUAUCAAGUUUGAUUCAGGUGAUCUGUUUGUUCAGUUUGCCAGAUGUAUAUAAAUGGACGAUUUGAUUAUGAUGAAUACUUUCAGCAAAGUGAAGAGUCGAGCCAAUUCAGGAAUGAAUAUGAAAUGAGAAAGAUGAAGCAGGCUUGAUCAAGGCUUGGAUAUGAAAUCAGAAGGUCUCGAUACUUUGAAAAACAUGGCACAGACGAGAGGAGGAUCAAACCUUCUAACCAAGUUCCGUUGAAGAUUCCAGCAACUCCAGUAAGGUUGUUUCACAAUUUUAUUAUAGGUUUGUUUUUUCACUGGAAAACAAACGACACCCAUAAAGAUGAAUCUUUAGGUGAUAAAGAUCAUCUUUUGUUGGUAAAGUUGGAGUCCUUUUAUGUAAUGUGAAGUGGGUAUUGUUGUUUCAAGAUUUUGAAGGGGUUUGAUUUGAAGUGGGUCCUGAUUGAACAGAUCUUGAUGUUGUUAAUAGAUGGUUCUAGAAGGUCUAUGCUUUUUGUGUGUGUGGAAGUUGGUGUGUGUGAAUUCGGAGAAGGUAAAUUUAGUGUUUAUAACCUUUUGAAAUCAGUUAGAAUAGUAAUGAGUGGAAUUGAAUGCUGAAUUUGUCUAUUUUCGCUGAAAAAUAUAUUUUUUGGGUUCUGUUAGGACGUGACGAUGAAGGUUAUAUCGUUCUCACAACAUGGACCCUGUGCGAUUAAAUGUGAUGUUUUUCUUGAAAUUUUGACACCUUUCUUUGUUCUUAAGGGCCGUUUUGAGAUACUUUCGUUGGUUGGAUCAUUUAUUCCGUCUGAGAGCCGAGGAAUAAGAAACAGAUCGGGUGGGAUGAGUGUUUUUCUGUCAAGCCCUAAUGGGCGUGGCGUUGGCGACAGUGUUGCGGGUCUUUUGCUUCUCGUCAUUCAUCUUUUCUAUUAGUUUUUUGGGUGUUUGUUUAAUUGUUUGUUAUAAACCAGAUUAUCGUUGGAAGUUUCUUGACAGGCGUCCAGUAGGAACAGAAACCCGCCAAGAAACAGAAGCCUGAUAACAUAACAAUCACACUCCCAACUACAGCCGUGGUUCCAGUUCAGGUUCUGUUUUCAGUUCAGACAUCAGCACCGGUUCUCGUGCCAGCGCCAACGCCCGCAGGUUGGUUGGUUCGAUAAGCCGGAAAACUCUAGCGGUGCAAUCGGUGCACGGUUGUCUGCCAAUGCUGCCAGUGUUCGUGGGUUAGUUGGUGAUGCGCUUGCUCAGAUCGUUCAAGACUUAUCAUCCGCUAUCAGCGAUUUAUUCAUCGCUUUUACAGCUUGCUGGCAGUUGGCUCUCAUAAUUCUUGCUAUGAUUCCGUUAGCGUCUAUUAAUGGAUAUGUUCAGAUGCGGUUUAUGAAAGGGUUUAGUGCUGAUGCUAAACUGAUGUACGAGGAAGCGAGUCAGGUGGCGAAUGAUGCAGACGUACAGUAUUGUCUUUUUGUGCAGAAGAGAAAGUUAUGCAACUGUAUAGAAGUAAAUGCGAGGGUCCGAAAAAGACCGGGAUUAAACAAGGGUUAAUUAGCAGGACCGGGUUUGGGAUUUUGAUUUUUAUUUUACUUUUUUGCAUGUAUGCUGGCAGUUUUUAUGUGGGAGCUCGGUUUGUUCAGGCGGGAAUAACUCAUUUCACAAGUGUUUUUAGAGUUUUCUUUGCUUUAACAAUGGCAGGAUUAGUAGUGUCUAAUCAAAGCUCGUUUGCACCCGAUACAAGUAAAGCGAAAAGCUUUGCGGUCUCAGUUUUUGCUAUUCUAGAUCGGAAGUCAGAGAUUGACCCAAGUGAUGAAUCUGGUGUGACUUUGGACACGGUCAAAGGGGAAAUCAAGCUCGUUUGCACCCUAUCAAGCCCAAAAGCUUUGCAGUCUCAGUUUUUGCUAUUCUAGAUCGGAAGUCAGAGAUUGACCCAAGUGAUGAAUCUGGUGUGACUUUGGACACGGACCAAAGGGGAAAUCGAGCUUAGACACAUUAGUUUUAAAUAUCCGGUCCAGACCUGAUGUUGAGAUAUUUGGUGACCUAUGCUUAAAAAAAUCCUUUUGUGCAAAAGUUCAUACUGAUUUUUCUUAAUC